CAAAAGGCUCUUUUCAGAGCCACCUACCUUAUCAACAAAAAGAGCU
rfam:Sus scrofa chromosome 7.